CGGGGCGUAGCGCAGUCUGGUAGCGCACCUGUAUGGGGUGCAGGUGGUCGCAGGUUCAAAUCCUGCCGUCCCGA
rnacentral:tRNA from 1 species